UAUGUUUGUGUUUGUUUGUGUGUCUAUCGACCUGCCAGCACUUUCGUUUGUGACUGGCGGGGAAGGUUGAGAGGACCAGUCUUGCUCACAGAACUUCAAUGACGUUCACAAUUAGCAACUUGGUCCCCAGAACUGAUUAUGACCUCCUGGUUCUCAGUCAAAUGGACGGCUUAAACCAGAUAUACUUGUGUUUACAGUAAUUAAGUGUGAAACAGUGAGACUAGCAAUUCUUCUAAGGACAUGGAAGUUCGUCAAAAAGAAUAUAAGCUGAAGUAAAGGCAGCUAAUGUGAAGAAUACAUCAACAACUAGUGCCCCAUUUGCUAAGAGGAUACUGAAAAAGUUGCUGUAUAUCUGUGAAGAGAUACAAAAGUCAUCAUCAGUGAAUAUCAAAACGGCAGUGCAUAUAAAGUUGGAACAAUGACAUUUAAAUUGUAUUAAAUUUAUGAAUGGAAAUGCACAAUGUGAUAUUACGAUAUUUUAAAGUUUGUAAUAUCACAAAUAAAGCACACAUUAUACUGAA